GUAAAGCGCGCGUAGGUGGUUUGUUAAGUUGGAUGUGAAAUCCCCGGGCUCAACCUGGGAACUGCAUCAAAACUGGCAGCUAGAGUAUGGUAGAGGGUGGUGGAAUUUCCUGUGUAGCGGUGAAAUGCGUAGAUAUAGGAAGGAACACCAGUGGCGAAGGCGACCACCUGGACUGAUACUGACACUGAGGUGCGAAAGCGUGGGGAGCAAACAGGAUUAGAUACCCCAGU
rnacentral:rRNA from 1 species